rnacentral:lncRNA from 1 species
UCUCUGAACUUGAGUAAAAUCUGGCUGUCUGAGGAAUAGAGUCUUACAGGCUUAAAAAACCAGUAGUCAAGGUCAGCAGUCUUAUGCUUCAGGAGCCACAGGGUAAAACGUGAGAGAGUACCCAGCUUCGCCACUUGGGCACCAUCUCCUCUGCUGGCACAGGUCCAGCUAAAGCCCAAGUCCAUCAGAAAUAUGAAGUCAAGAAUUUUCCCUUAGAGGACUCUGCUGCACCCUCUUAUCCUGUUAAAUUAGGUUCUCUAUAUACAGUAAAACCUAUCUUGAGAACCUGAGGCAGGAUGUUCAGAAGUGAGAGGGUGUAUAGUUCUUUACGUGCUUAGCACUGGCAAAUCCAUUUAUGAGAAACCAAAGUAAGAUAAGCAAGUAUAUAUGUGAGUUAAGAGAAGAACAUGGUGUUAUGCACCUAUAGAGCUUAGUCAGGAUGCUCAGCUGUAGGGGACUUUAUUUAAUUUUGACAAGGCGUAUGAUUAUCAAGGCUGGCCCAUGGGAGGAAGGGUUAUGGAUUAUACAUGAGAGAAGUAAGUGGGGAUAUUUCCUUGCUUGAGAAUUUAAUCUGCAUAAGGAGUUUGCCUUAGUUCCUCUGCAAGUUAUUUUGCUUUCAAGGGAGAGCUUUCACUGGACAGUCAGGUGAGGUCUGUGAGGUUAGUUAAAUGUAGUGACUCCCUAUAUGUAGUAGAAACAGCUCAAAAGUUGUUUUUAAGUAAGGAAGAAAGGGACAAGAUAGACUUGAGUGACAUAUAGAAGGUAUGGAAACUUGUAGGGAAAGUGAAAGGAGAGCUUUGUGUACUGGGGGGAGAACAGUGCCAGGGGAAGGGAGCAGCUAGCAUGUGUGGUGUGUACUCUGUGUGUGUUUCCUCCUUCAGUCUUCAUACCGUCCCUACACAGUAUAUAUGCCUUCUACUCAUUUAUAAAUGUGGAAGAAAACUAGAAUUUAUACAGCGUGUUCAGUACGUCGUGCUAGUAAGGGCCAAAUUAAAAUUAGAGCCCAGAG